rnacentral:rRNA from 1 species
AUGAACGCUGGCGGCGUGCCUAAUCCAUGCAAGUCGAGCGAACAGACGAGGAGCUUGCUCCUCUGACGUUAGCGGCGGACGGGUGAGUAACACGUGGAUAACCUACCUAUAAGACUGGGAUAACUUCGGGAAACCGGAGCUAAUACCGGAUAAUAUAUUGAACCGCAUGGUUCAAUAGUGAAAGACGGUUUUGCUGUCACUUAUAGAUGGAUCCGCGCCGCAUUAGCUAGUUGGUAAGGUAACGGCUUACCAAGGCAACGAUGCGUAGCCGACCUGAGAGGGUGAUCGGCCACACUGGAACUGAGACACGGUCCAGACUCCUACGGGAGGCAGCAGUAGGGAAUCUUCCGCAAUGGGCGAAAGCCUGACGGAGCAACGCCGCGUGAGUGAUGAAGGUCUUCGGAUCGUAAAACUCUGUUAUUAGGGAAGAACAAAUGUGUAAGUAACUAUGCACGUCUUGACGGUACCUAAGCAGAAAGCCACGGCUAACUACGU